GUAAACUUGAAAACUAUCGUUGAAUCGAAAAAUAGACGUAUGAGAUUCAUCCACAUUUUUAUGAGUAAAUCUGCGAGUAAAAUUUUUACUGGUGAUGAUGUGGACGAAUCUCAGAUGUUUAUUUUUCGUUUCAACGGUUGUUUUCAGGUUUCU
rnacentral:pre_miRNA from 1 species